rnacentral:lncRNA from 1 species
AUGCUAGAUCUAUUUUAUUUUGUUAAGGAGAAAGGGAUGCCUUGAUUGUCGUAUUGAUUUUCUUCUUCUUUUUGUUCCAAAAGAUUGAAACUGAAGAGCUGGAAGGAGGACAUUACAACAUCUCUUAUAUUUGCAAGAUGAAGCAGAAAGUCCCAUGCAGGAUGAUGCCUCUCUACAGUGGAUGAUGAAGGCAUUCUGGUUUGCAAACUCAGGAGAGGAACAAAGAACAGAUGUUGACGGGAUCAUAUCUAGAGAUGCGGGCCUACUACACUUCAUACGAGCAAGUGUGCUAAUAUACAUGAAGACUUGGGUUAUAUUUUUUUCUGAAAACUAGGCUACAACUUUAGUGAUGGAUGCAGAAGAUAUCUACAUGAGACUACGUCUUAAA